AUUGAACGCUGGCGGCAUGCUUUACACAUGCAAGUCGAACGGUAGAGGGGCAACCCUUGAGAGUGGCGAACGGGUGAGUAAUGCAUCGGAACGUGCCCAGUAGUGGGGGAUAGCCCGGCGAAAGCCGGAUUAAUACCGCAUGAGACCUGAGGGUGAAAGCGGGGGAUCGCAAGACCUCGCGCUAUUGGAGCGGCCGAUGUCAGAUUAGCUAGUUGGUGGGGUAAAGGCCUACCAAGGCGACGAUCUGUAGCUGGUCUGAGAGGACGACCAGCCACACUGGGACUGAGACACGGCCCAGACUCCUACGGGAGGCAGCAGUGGGGAAUUUUGGACAAUGGGCGCAAGCCUGAUCCAGCCAUGCCGCGCGCGGGAAGAAGGCCUUCGGGUUGUAAACCGCUUUUGUCAGGGAAGAAAUCUUCUGGGCUAAUACCCUGGGAGGAUGACGGUACCUGAAGAAUAAGCACCGGCUAACUACGUGCCAGCCGCCGCGGUAA
rnacentral:rRNA from 1 species